CGCCCUUCGGAAGGACCUUCGCCUGGGGCCUGGGGCCGCCGCGGCUCGCGGGACGGGGGCGUUUCCGCGUAGCCUCGGCCGGGAGCGGGCAAGUGGGAGAGAAGGGUCCACAGCGACGAAGGGGCAGGAUGUCGUAACCCCAGGAGGCCUCGUCCGUGGCCAGUGGCGUUUGCUCUUACCAAGCGCUCCACGACCUCGUCGGAGUUUUUGAAGAGGGCGAGCUAAGUUCUUCUUCCCUGAGCCGUGGACAAAACCCCGCCGGAGGCGUGGUGGUUGGUUGUCUCGGCCUGUUGCUGAUCGUUUGGCAGCUCCUUGCUCAGAGCUCUUGUGUAUCUUGGACAAAGCCUGAAGCCUUUGCACUCAACCAACUUUGCCGAAGUUCUUCGGUCUUUAGACCACUGUUCUUACCCCAAGUUUUACACUCGGAGAAAUCAAGGCAGGAGUGAACUUGGCCCUGUAGAGUGACUUCGUGCUUGAUCUGCAUUUUGUAACCAUCAGAGAAGAAGCAUGUAUGUGUUAGCGGAAGUUUGAGUGGAGAGAGGAAAGACUCUGCCGUGUUAGAGGCAUCAUUCAACUCCAGGAGUUACUGCCUUUACCGUUAGGCCGCAGUGUCCUAAGGGCGCAGCGCUGAGGAAGAGAGAAGUUGUGUGUUUGGGGCUUUCCGAGCUCUGGAAGGAAGGCAGACAUGUCUCUGGAUGACAUUAAGAUGAAAUCUUCUGACUUUCUGGAGAAGGAGGACCUGGAGAGCGGAGGCUUCGGAAAGGUGUCCUUGUGUUUUCACAAAUCCCACGGGCUUGUGAUUCUGAAGAAGGUGUACACGGGCCCCAAGCGCAAUGAGUACAACGAGUCCCUGCUGGAGGAGGGCAGGAUGAUGCACAGGCUGCGACACAGCCGUGUGGUGAGGCUGCUGGGCGUCGUCAUGGAGGAAGGGGACUACUCGCUGGUGAUAGAGUACAUGGCGAAGGGCGACCUCAUGCGGGUGCUCAAGGCCCAGAUCGCCGACCUCGGCGUGGCGUCCUUCAAGACGUGGAGCAAACUGACGAAGGAGGAGCAUAACGAGCAGCGGAAGGUGACCAGCACCGCCAAGAAAAACGGGGGCACCCUCCACUACAUGGCCCCCGAGCACCUGAACGACGUCAACGCCAGGCCCUCGGAGAAGUCGGACGUGUACAGCUUCGCCAUCGUGCUCUGGGCCAUAUUCGCCAAUAAGGAGCCCUACGAAAAUGCCAUCUGCGAGCAGCAGCUGAUCCUGUGCAUCAAGUCCGGGAACCGGCCGAGCGUGGACGACAUCGUCGAGUUCUGCCCGCGGGAGGUGGUCGGCCUCAUGAAGCAGUGCUGGGCGCUGAGUCCGGACGACAGGCCCACCUUUGCUGGCAUUGAAGAAAAAUAUAGGCCUUUUUAUUUAAGUCAAUUAGAAGGAAAUGUGGAAGAGGAUGUGAAGAAUUUAAAGAAGGAGUACCCGAGCCAGAACGCCGUCGUGAAGAGGAUGCAGUCUCUGCAGAUUGACUGUGUAGCCGUAGCUCCGAGCAGGUCCAAUUCAGCCCCAGAACAGCCAGGUUCGCUGCACAGCUCGCAGGGCUUCGGGAUGGGCCCCGUGGAGGAGUCCUGGUUUGCCCCCUCCGCGGAGCACCAGCACGAGGAGAACGAGCUCCACCUGCAGAGCAAACUCCAGGAGGAAGCCAACUACCAUCUUUUCGGCAGCCGCAUGGACAGGCGCACCAAGGAGCAGCCGGGUGGCAGCGCGGCCUACGGCGGGGAGGAGGAGAGGCGGCGCAGGGUCUCGCAUGACCCCUUCGCGCAGCAGAGGCCUCACGAGCCGGCCCAGAGCCCCGCGGUGAAAGGCCUCGCCUGUGCCGGUCCUGGUAGCGCCGCCCAGCACCCGGCGGGGCUGAGCAGCCACCCGCAGCCGCUGUACCAGAGCCAUGGGUCGCACAAGCCUCAGGGCCUGGGAGCAAGGCCCCUGGAUCUGGGAGCCGCAGAUCGAAGAGUUUGGUACAUGCCGAGUCAAGGCCACAGGCCAAGCCUGUAUAAGACGCCGGUGCCCGAGACCGACCUGCUGGGCAACACGCCCACCCUGCCCUUCGCCUCCCUGCCAUCAAGAGACGCGUCUCCCAGAUACAUCCUGUACGGCAACUCUGGCGUUCAGAUCGGAGACCACAACUACAUGGAGCUCGGCGGAGCGAGCGUCUCAGUCCUGGACAGCAUGUGCCCGCACGUGAAAGAAGAGCCCGCUUCUAAGUACCAGGCCAUCUUCGAGAACACCACCAGCCUGACGGAUAAACACCUGGACCCAGUCAGGGAAAAUCUGGGAAAGAACUGGAAAAUCUGUGCGCGGAAGCUGGGCCUCACCGAGUCUCAGAUCGACGAGAUCGACCACGACUACGAGCGGGACGGACUCAAAGAAAAGGUUUACCAGAUGCUGCAGAAGUGGCUGAUGAGGGAGGGCAGCAAGGGGGCCACGGUGGGGAAGCUGGCCCGGGCGCUCUACCAGUGCUCCCGGCUGGACCUCCUCAGCUGCCUGAUCCGCAGCAGCCAGAACUAGGCCCCCCGGGCCCNNNNNNNNNNNNNNNNNNNNNNNNNNNNNNNNNNNNNNNNNNNNNNNNNNNNNNNNCCCCCGCACUCAGGGCCCCCGUGUCUGCGCGGAGCGGUGUCUGCAUCGCACGGCGGGGAGCGGGCGGCCGGGGCGCAAACAACACUAGAAGGAAGGUCCGGCCACGGCCCCGUCGAGAAGAAGCCUCACCGGGUUUUGAAAAGGAGCGAAGCCAUCUUCCGGGUCGUUUGCCUUCAGAUGGUUCCGUAACCUGCAGUUAUGCUGCUCAUUUAGUUCUUGGGGUCUUAUUUGAACAAGAAAAAAAUUCAGAGGACCCGAAGCACGUCGCCUUUCUCACUUUGCACCCUCCUCUCCACGCGGACUCCUGUUAAAACCAAAGUACUGUAAAAUCCUCAGUUCUCCUCAAGUGCGAGGUCUGGCACCACAGCCACGGUUCCCUCUAAAGUGUCUGUUAACUCGAGGAUCAAAUUCUGCAUCAGUCACCACAGGCUUUAAGAAGUACAUGCAGUCGCAGUUCCUUGUGGCUCGGCGGUAAUGAACCCGACCCGUGUUCAUGAGGAAGCGGGUUCGAUCCUGGCCUUGCUUAGUGGGUUGAGGAUCUGGUGUCAGCGUGAGCUGUGCUAUGGGUCGCAGGUUUGGCUUGGAUCCCAUGUUGCUGGGGCUGUGGUGUAGGCCGUCAGCUGCAGUUCCACAGCUCUGAUUCGACCCUUAGCCUGGAAACUUCCAUGUGCCGCAGGUGCGGCCCU
rnacentral:lncRNA from 1 species